UACGUAGGGACCAAGCGUUGUUCGGAUUUACUGGGCGUAAAGGGCGCGUAGGCGGCAUAUUAAGUCAGCUGUGAAAUCUCCGAGCUUAACUCGGAACUGUCAGCUGAUACUGAUGUGCUAGAGUGCAGAAAGGGCAAUCAGAAUUCUUGGUGUAGCGGUGAAAUGCGUAGAUAUCAAGAGGAACACCUGCGGCGAAGGCGGGUUGCUGGGCUGACACUGACGCUGAGGCGCGAAAGCUAGGGGAGCGAACGGG
rnacentral:rRNA from 1 species